rnacentral:lncRNA from 1 species
GAAGGUUUGUACAUAUAUGUAGCUCAUUUUAAAUGGCCCCUGACAGCCCAUUUCUUGUUUGUGACAUUUAUGUUGUAAUAAGCAGGUCUAUGUCUUGUA